rnacentral:rRNA from 1 species
GACGAACGCUGGCGGCGGGCCUAAUACAUGCAAGUAGAACGCAGUUGCGAACGGGUGAGUAACGCGUAGGUAACGGCCUCAAAGGGGGGGAUAACUAUUGGAAACGAUAGCUAAUACCGCAUACUGUCAGAUGGACCUGCGUUGUAUUAGCUAGUUGGUGAGGUAAAGGGUCACCAAGGCGACGCUACAUAGACGACCUGAGAGGGUGGUUCGGCAACAUUGGACCGAGAAACCGGCCAGGAUUCCUCCGGAGGGAGCAGUAGGGAAUUUUUGGACAUGGACGGAAGGCUGACCGCGCAACUCCGGGGGAGAUAAGAAGGGUUUCGGGUCGUAAAGCUCUUUUGUGUGGGAAGCGUUAACUAACCAGAAAGCGACGGCUAACUACGUGCCAGCAGCCGCGGUAAUUC